GUGGGGAAUAUUGGGCAAUGGGCGAAAGCCUGACCCAGCAAUGCCGCGUGAAGGAUGAAGGCUUUCGAGUUGUAAACUUCUUUAGUCAGGGACGAAACAAAUGACGGUACCUGAAGAAUAAGCCACGGCUAACUACGUGCCAGCAGCCGCGGUAAUACGUAGGUGGCAAGCGUUAUCCGGAUUUACUGGGUGUAAAGGGCGUGUAGACGGUUUUGUAAGUCAGAUGUGAAAUCUCCGGGCUCAACUCGGAAACUGCAUCUGAAACUACAAAACUUGAGUGAUGGAGAGGAAAGCGGAAUUCCUAGUGUAGCGGUAAAAUGCGUAGAUAUUAGGAGGAACAUCAGUGGCGAAGGCGGCUUUCUGGACAUUAACUGACGUUGAGGCGCGAAAGCGUGGGUAGCAAACAGGAUUAGAAACCCUAGUAGUCC
rnacentral:rRNA from 1 species